rnacentral:tRNA from 1 species
AUCCGUAUAGUUUAAAUAAAACAUUAAUCUUGUAAAUUAAAUAUAGAAACUUCUCUUACAGAUA